rnacentral:rRNA from 1 species
UCAGGCCAGCAGCAGACGUGAAUUGAUCUGGCUCAGUCGGUAGAGAGGAGCUUGUCUCAUUCGAUUCACGCGGCGGACGGGUGAGUAAUGCCUAGGAAUCUGCCUGGUAGUGGGGGACAACGUUUCGAAAGGAACGCUAAUACCGCAUACGUCCUACGGGAGAAAGCAGGGGACCUUCGGGCCUUGCGCUAUCAGAUGAGCCUAGGUCGGAUUAGCUAGUUGGUGGGGUAAUGGCUCACCAAGGCGACGAUCCGUAACUGGUCUGAGAGGAUGAUCAGUCACACUGGAACUGAGACACGGUCCAGACUCCUACGGGAGGCAGCAGUGGGGAAUAUUGGACAAUGGGCGAAAGCCUGAUCCAGCCAUGCCGCGUGUGUGAAGAAGGUCUUCGGAUUGUAAAGCACUUUAAGUUGGGAGGAAGGGCAGUAAGCGAAUACCUUGCUGUUUUGACGUUACCGACAGAAUAAGCACCGGCUAACUCUGUGCCAGCAGCCGCGGUAAUACAGAGGGUGCAAGCGUUAAUCGGAAUUACUGGGCGUAAAGCGCGCGUAGGUGGUUUGUUAAGUUGAAUGUGAAAGCCCCGGGCUCAACCUGGGAACUGCAUCCAAAACUGGCAAGCUAGAGUACAGUAGAGGGGUGGGUGGAAUUUCCUGGGUAGCGGUGAAAUGCGUAGAUAUAAGGAAGGAACACCAGUGGCGAAAGCGACCACCUGGGACUGAUACUGACACUGAGGUGCGAAAGCGUGGGGAGCAAACAGGAUUAGAUACGCCUGGGUAGUCCACCGCCGGUAAACGAUGUCAACUAGCCGUUGGAAGUCCCUUGAAGAAUUUUAGUGCGCAGCUAACGCAUAAGUUGACCGCCUGGGGAGUACGGCCGCAAGGUUAAAGACUCAAAUGAAGUUGACC